GCAUGAGAGUUACAAGGGGGUGAUUAAUUGCAGAUACAAACGCAUGUGAUGUACCUGUCACAGAAGUAUUGUAUUUGCCAUUAAUUUCCCUCCUGUGACUGUCGUGC